GGCCUCCACAACCAUGCUUACUGUACAGCCUGCAGAACUUUGAAGGACUACUCUCAGGUCACAUCACCAACAUGACCGAAUCCUUUGGAACAACUACUCAUCCAGAAUGAAUACAUUUCAAGGUGCUCUUUCCUGCUGCAUUUGGAUACAGGUUCUGGUGGGCCCUGUUUGCCCAGAUCCUUGGGUAAGUAAAUUUGAUGUCAAUUGAUCUUAAUCUCAGAUGCCAAGUUUGUGCUAAGAUGUAAACGACCCUUCAGUAAAUUGAAUAAUCUUGUUGGGCAUUACCAUAGUUAUAAAAUGUUAAGGAAGUAGAGUUUUUUUGUUUUGUUUUGUUUUGCUUUUUGUUUUUUUAAUCAACAGAGAGCCUUUCAAAAGAUGUCACAAAGAUUAGGAAACAUACUCCAUCGUUACGGAGUAUGUUUCCUAUAAUGAUUCCAUUACCAAGACUACACUGGCAGCAAGACUUCCUCUGGCUGGGUGAAGCUAAAGGUCAUCUCUGACCAGUCCUCAGAAGCCUUCAAAGAUCUUUUAAAUGUUUUCUUAAUGCUCCUCUCUGGCUCUUUAAAUCAUGAUUGAGGCUUGGAUUCUAUUAGAGUGAGCAGGGACUCAAUAUGAAAUUCUGCACCAGGCACACAGUUAAUAUAAUUUCUUUUAUUUAGAAUUCUGCUCUCUGUACAGUCUGGUUAUCAAUUCUCUUUUUCAUGAUUUGGCAUUUGUGAUGGAAAGAACAAAUUCAGAUGUCCUUCCUCUCUGAGUGAUUCACAGUGUGUUUUCCAUUUCCAUUGACAACCUUCUCAAUGUUUUGACAAUAACUUCCUCAAUAGGACACCAAAAUUAUGUGACUAAAUGAAAAGAAUUCACAAUCACUGAAUACGUACCAUGUAUCAUAUAUUUUAACAUAUACCUUAGCAUAGACCACAAAGGAUUAAUACUAGGACUUGGUACCAAAUCUAAGAUUUCUUCCAUGCUCCAGUAAUUAUAGAGUGACAAUGAAAUUCUGGCUUCUGCAUAUCCCGUCAUCAUGCUGCUCUCAUUAUCAUAGCACAAGACAGCAGUGGCUUUUCAUAGCAACAUUAUUAUAACUACUUUAGACAACAGUCUUUCCAGUUAUUUUUCUUAUACUCAUAGAAGAUAAAUGGACUGUCUGUAAGCACCAUCAAACUACAUUUAAAUGUAAAGGCUAAAAAUAUUUUUAAGAAUUAGGAAAUCCAAGUGAAUUCGAUUUUUCCUUCUAUGCCUUCCCCUCAACUCCAAAUUCAUUUUUUAA